rnacentral:sRNA from 1 species
AUGGCUGUCGUCAGCUCGUGUCGUGAGAUGUUGGGUUAAGUCCCGCAACGAGCGCAACCCCUGUCCCAUGUUGCCAGCGUGAAAGACGGGGACUCAUGGGAGACUGCCGGUGACAAAUCGGAGGAAGGUGGGGAUGACGUCAAGUCAGCAUGACCCUUAUGUCUAGGGCUACACACGUGCUACAUUGGCCGAUACAAAGGGCUGCAAACCCGCGAGGGGGAGCGAAUCCCAAAAAAUCGGUCCCGGUUCGGAUUGGAGGCUGAAACUCGCCUCCAUGAAGUCGGAGUUGCUAGUAAUCGCGAAUCAGCAACGUCGCGGUGAAUACGUUCCCGGGCCUUGUACACACCGCCCGUCACACCACGAAAGUCGGCAAUACCCGAAGCCGGUGGCCUAACCCGUAAGGGAGGGAGCCGUCGAAGGUAGGGUUGAUGAUUGGGGUGAAGUCGUAACAAGGUAGCCGUAGCGGAAGCUGCGGCUGGAUCACCUCCUUUCUAGGGAUACCGGAGCAUUAGCGUCCGGUAGGCGCUCGGCCAGUAGAUGGCAACAGCCGUCCUGUUCCCGAGUUCGCCUAGAAUCACGUCAACCUCGACGAACGCUGUUGAGUUUUGAGAGACCGGUGCCGUGCUCUGGUUACUAUGGAGCAAUGCGACCGGUAUUUCUCGGUUGGGCGGACUGGUUCCGCGCGCACCUUGAAAACUCCAUAGCAGUAACUAGCGAGUUCUUCACGAUCAAGAGAAUAAGAGCACACGGUGGAUGCCUUGGCGCCAAGAGCCGAAGAAGGACGUGGGCGGCUGCGAUAAGCUCGGGUGAGGUGCUGACCAACCUUUGACCCCGAGAUUUCCGAAUGGGGAAACCCGG